rnacentral:rRNA from 1 species
GUCGAGGGGUCCUAGCGUUGUUCGGAAUCACUGGGCGUAAAGCGUAUGUAGGCGGGUUUCUAAGUCGGGUGUGAAAUCCCAUGGCUCAACCAUGGAAUUGCAUUCGAAACUGGAAGUCUUGAGUGUGGGAGAGAUUGGUAGAAUACCUGGUGUAGUGGUGAAAUACGUAGAUAUCAGGUGGAAUACCGGUGGCGAAGGCGGCCAAUUGGCCCAACACUGACGCUGAGAUACGAAAGCGUGGGGAUCAAACAGG